GAUGAACGCUCGCGGCAGGCCUAACACAUGCAAGUCGAGGGAGGAGCUUUCGGGCUUCGACCGGCGUACGGGUGCGUAACGCGUAUACAAUCUGCCUUUCACAUAGGGAUAGCCCGAAGAAAUUUGGAUUAAUACCUAAUGGUAUAUAGGAGUGGCAUCACAUUUAUAUUAAAGCUGAGGCGGUGAAAGAUGAGUAUGCGUUCUAUUAGCUAGUUGGAGAGGUAACGGCUCCCCAAGGCGACGAUAGAUAGGGGUUCUGAGAGGGAUAUCCCCCACACUGGUACUGAGAUACGGACCAGACUCCUACGGGAGGCAGCAGUGAGGAAUAUUGGACAAUGGUCGGAAGACUGAUCCAGCCAUGCCGCGUGCAGGAAGACGGCCUUAUGGGUGGUAAACUGCUUUUGCAGGGGAAGAAUAAGGACUACGAGUAGUUUGAUGACGGUACUCUGCGAAUAAGCAUCGGCUAACUCCGUG
rnacentral:rRNA from 1 species